rnacentral:sRNA from 1 species
CUGAGAGCCCUGGAGACUGAAGUCCUUUCUUUAUGCACAAAACAGGCACAGUCUGGGCAGAGGCAGAGCAAGCAACCUCAGCACCACCCUCCGGGCAUGCCUCAACCCUGCUCUGGAGGGAUUUUUUCUAAUGGGGAAUAACUGACAAUGUUCUCCAUUAUGAUGGGCCCAAGCUGUGAUAUGCAACU